rnacentral:rRNA from 1 species
ACAGAGGUCUCAAGCGUUGUUCGGAUUUACUGGGCGUAAAGGGCGCGUAGGCGGCCUUGUCAGUCAGGCGUGAAAGCCCCGGGCUCAACCUGGGAGGUGCGCUUGGGACGGCGAGGCUGGAGUUCGGGAGAGGAGAGUGGAAUUCCCAGUGUAGAGGUGAAAUUCGUAGAUAUUGGGAAGAACACCGGUGGCGAAGGCGGCUCUCUGGACCGACACUGACGCUGAGGCGCGAAAGCGUGGGGAGCAAACAGGA